UCUGUGGAGCCCAGCAGGCCUAUCAAGAGAUCCUCUCCCCACCCCCCGCCAGCCCAACGUGAUGAGGGGUCCGGAACCGUGGCAUAGGAGAACAAACCAGGGAAGCGAUACCACUCGAGCACUCUGGAGGAGGUCUGAGAAAGCCUGGCUAUGUUAUCUUUUUAAAUUUUUGAACAGGUUCAAUUCCUCUCUGGGGGAACAACAGCAAGAAAGAUAAAAAUACUUUUUCCCAGCGAGAGGCCAGCCCGACAGUGGCUCCCAGCCGUCGCCAAGCACUGCGGUGCGUCAGGGUGCAGCCCGUGGGCACCGAGGACUGAGAAGAAACCUGCAGUUCUUCCACAGAGCGCUCUUCCGGUUUCAGGGCAGGCGUCUGUCAGUAUGGAAAAGAAGUCUGGAAAAAUAGCGCUGUGUUCAUUACCAGUGGUUGAUGGGACCAGGGGAUCCCUUCAUACCACUGAGAUAUGGCUUCUGGGUUUAACCUAUCAUUCACCCAGACCAGGUUUCUUCUUGGGCACAGCUUUUAGAUUCAUGGUUUUAAUAUACUGCCACCACAUCUGCUGAGUUCCAGAACGAUGCGUUGCUCAAGUUUAGCAAACGAUAAGAAAGAAGCUGUUAAAACGUCUGAAAUGCAGUUACUCACCCUUAUCAUCA